rnacentral:rRNA from 1 species
CGCACGGGUGAGUAACGCGUGGGUAACCUACCUUUGAAUCUGGAAUAACCAGCCGAAAGGCUGACUAAUACCGGAUAUGGUCUUUAGGGCUUAGGUUCUUUAAAUUAAAGGUGACCUCUUCAUGAAAGUUGCCGUUCAUAGAUGGGCCCGCGUACCAUUAGCUUGUUGGUGGGGUAAUGGCCUACCAAGGCGACGAUGGUUAGCUGGUCUGAGAGGAUGAUCAGCCACACUGGAACUGGAACACGGUCCAG